UACGUAGGGUGCAAGCGUUUAAUCGGAAUUACUGGGCGUAAAGCGCGUGUAGGCGGUCCGGUAAGUCCGCUGUGAAAGUCGGGGGCUCAACCCUCGGAUGCCGGUGGAUACUGUCGGACUAGAGUCCGGAAGAGGCAAGUGGGAAUUCCCGGUGUAGCGGUUGAAAUGCGCAGAUAUCGGGAGGAACACCAAUGGCGAAGGCAGCACUCUGGGACGUGACUGACGCUGAGACGCGAAAAGCCAGGGGGAGCGAAC
rnacentral:rRNA from 1 species